CAGUUUCUUUAAAUUUCCAUGUUGUUGACAGUUCAGAAAUGAUAUAAAUCUCCAUUCUAAUCACAUUUCUAGCAACAGAACAUUUAGAUGUCAGCAGUAAACUUUAUACAGGAUAAAUUUUUCACCACAAGCUUCCUCACACCACACAGGCUCCACCGAACCCUGCAUCUUAUACUUUUACUUCAGAGAUGCAAACCCACCUCCUACUUUGGCCUGGACCCAA
rnacentral:lncRNA from 1 species